UUAAGGCUAGGAUAGAGAGGGAGGUUUCGCUCCCGUUCUUUCAGAGCGGCCAUCUUGGCGGCGGCAAGUGAAGCAAUGAGCGGUUUCAUUUGUGAGGGGAAUGGGGGAGAGUGAAAAGGAAAGAAGCGGCCUAGGCCUGAGGCGAAAUGAAGGGACGCGUCGUAGAGGCAUCGGCGGCAAGAAACAAGGGUCAAAAGUCUUCAAAGGCGCUUGGUGAUCCUGUGCUUUAAUGGAACGGAUCCAGACAUGGAGCCACUUUUUAUUUCCACAGUCUUACUCUUUUAUUUCUCUAUACAUCCAGGCUGAGCAUCCCUUGCCUGAAAUGCUUCGGACCAGAAGAGUUUUGGACUUUGGAACGUUUGCCCAUAUAUAAUACGGUAUCUUGGAGAAAGGUGUUUUUCCUUAUCUGUGCUACUGGUGCUGCUUCAGGUGCUAGAAAUGCAUUGCUACCUACCUAGUUAUUUGUAAAGGCACAGAAGAACUUAAGAAAAGUGCUACCUAAUCCUUUUCGCUGGAGGUAGCAGGAAUUGAAUCUGGGCUGACUUCAUGCAAAUCACCUCAUUUUCAACCAAAGGAGUGUACACAAGUCCAGAGGAAGUUGGAUUGUGGAUUGUGCUAAUGGACUUUGCCUAUUAUUAUUAUUAUCAUCAUUAUUAUUAUUAACCUUUAUUUAUAAAGCGCUGUAAAUUUACACAGCGCUGUACAUACAAUCUUUAAUUGGACAGUUCCCUGCCCUAAGGCUUUAGGAACAGCAUUGCCAACAGUUCAGCAGGUGUAGUUUCGAGUCCCAUUUGCGGUAUAGUGGAAAAGCCUUACCUGCCUGCCCUGUUGGUUAUUCAGCUGACAAAGGCAAAGCAUGGAGGUGUUUAUUGAAUGUUGCAAGACUCUGAAUUGACAAGAGCAAGCAAAGAAAUACACACACACAAAAUAAGAUUUCAUUACCCAAUUUAACCCAGUUGCUUCAGUGCUGAAUCAAAGUGGCAUCUAUUAAAAUAAAUAUUAAGUAAUUUGCAAUGACACUAAGAACAUGUACAGUACUGGAAAUUUGAAAGCCACGACUCAGCUGGCAAUAAGAGCGCAUCUCUCAAAACAAGUCACACUAACUUCAGUUUUCUUUUCUUUUCAGGCAGCUGCUGGGACUACAAUAAUGCUAAUCUUGUGUCUUUUCAGACUAAGCAAACUGGAAGCCUAGAAAGCUCUUCAUCAAGGCAGACCUAGGAAGCCGAGAUAACCUAAAUAGAAUGGCUGCUUUUUCAAGCCACCAAGGGUGGAGACCUAAGGACUCAAGAAUGAAUAGCAACAAUGAAGAUACUUCGGUGACAUAGAGACAGAACAAGAUGAAUGGUAAAACAAAAUCACAGGUGUGAUUUGACCCAUUAACUUUCCCUGCAAAGUUCAGGGCUGAGUUAAGAAUUUAGCCCUGCCCAUGUGUUUCUUACAACAGCUUUGUGAGGUUUGCAAACAAAGCAAAGACCCAGCCCAAAUGCAGCAGCCUGCUUUCCUGAAUUAAAUCG